CAACAUUUCGUACUUGAUCAGUAUGCUUCGAAUACGCCUAAAACAAAUGGUCGUUUCCCUAAUCAAAGAGAGGAAUUAUAGACGUAAUGACAUGUAGAACUAAUGCCUGAUAGCCUUAAACUGAUUAUUCCACGCAAAACCAUAAAGUGACACAUAUUUGCAGCACAUCCACAUACCAAAACACGCAGCCAUAAGCAUGAUAAAGUCAUGGGCUCAUAUCACCAUAUCUCAAAAUCUUAACGAGGUGCACAUACCAUCUCAAGUUUCCAUCUCAUCACACGAACAACGAAACUGAAACUACAAAAGGUUCUUCCUUUGCUUGCACAAUGAAACUACUACCAACAAGAGCAUAAGCAUACUGCGAACGGAAAGGAGGAACCGGGGCAGGGCGGGCCGGGGGCCGCGCGGCGCCUACUUCUCGGAGGAGUUGGGCCCGCGCUUCUUGCCGAAGCCGACGACGGCGGUGACGAAACGGCGGUUGUACUGCAUCCUCUUGUGCGCGCGGCCGCGGGGCUUCUUCUUCUUAUCCUGCUUCGCCACCUUGGGCGUCUGGCCGCGGACCUUCCCGGCACGGGCCAACGAUCCGUGCACCUUACCUGCGCGCAGCGACACGAAAACCCCGAUUAGCGCAUCAGUAGGCGAUGAAGUAGCAACCAGAGAAGAGAGAUGAAAGGAGGCGAAGGUGGUUACCCAUGGCUGAGAAGCGGCGGCGCGGCGGCGGCGACGGAGGCGCGGGCGCGGAUGCUGGGAGAUGCGGCGGCGGCGGCGGCGGCUGUUGGGAGGGAAGAGGAAACCCUAGAUGAGGGGGCAGCACUUUAUAGGCGUGAGGAUUUUU
rnacentral:lncRNA from 1 species